rnacentral:rRNA from 1 species
UACAGAGACUGCAAGCGUUAUUCGGAUUCACUGGGCGUAAAGGGUGCGCAGGCGGUCGGGUGUGUCAGGUGUGAAAUCCCGAGGCUCAACCUCGGAACUGCGUCUGAAACUACUCGACUAGAGUACUGGAGAGGGUAACGGAAUUCACGGUGUAGCAGUGAAAUGCGUAGAUAUCGUGAGGAACACCAGAGGCGAAGGCGGUUACCUGGACAGUUACUGACGCUCAGGCACGAAAGCAUGGGGAGCAAAAGGG